UGCCUCGCACGCCGCCGCCCUCACGCACAGGCUUCGUCCCGCUCCCACGUCCACGAGGCCCCCACAUGUAAGCACCCCGCGCACGCGCACGCGCACGCCGGGCUCGAGCUCUUGCGCUUGCGCGACGCCAUUAACGAACUGAACGAACCGACUAAACCCCACGCAUCCCGAUGUACAAAACCCGCCCGCGGCUUUCUCUCCCUCCUUCCUCCCAUCUUCGUCCCCAAGGAAACAAUCCCGGGGAAUAAAAAGAAAUUCCUGUGAAAUUAAAGGAAGGCGAUCCCCAGUCCGAUCCCUCCAAUCCCCACUUCCAUCCACCCUCAAAGCCGCGAGCUUUCCCUCGCCCGUGCUCCAGGGCGCGUGGUUUCCGGAUGGCUUUGGAGCUGCGGCUGGCGCCGGCGGCGGCGGAGGAGGAGAGGCGCCUGUCCGAGGAGGACGAGCUGCUGUUCCAGGACAUCGCGAGGGAGGUGGGGCGGCUGAGCCUCCGCGAGCCCGAGGUUGAGGCCCAGGGGCGGCGCCAGGGCGACGCGGCCGCGGCGGACGGCCUCCUCCCUCUUCCGGCGGUUCCUGAGCACCCUAGGCAGCAGGGGGGCCUGUACCGGCCUCCCUUAUCCGUGACGAGGGUUCUGUCGCUCGUGGUGCAGGAGGCCGGCCCGGUGCCGCCGCCGUUCUCGCCGCCGCCGACGGGGGUACCCGGCGGCCGUAGGGUGGUCGACGAAUGGCACUUCCCGGGCGAUCAUCUCGGCCGCGGUCGCGCCCCUGCCCACCAGAACUUCCGCGCCGCGGGAUCCGUGCCGCCGCGCGCCGCCUGGCCUGGCGACGCGUACGCCCGCGCAAGGGCGUUUCCUGGGCGCGCCGCCAGCACGCAGCUGGUCGAGGACAUCGUCCUGUUUCUCGCCAAGAACGAGCAAGCGGUGCUCAACAUGCUGUUCUGGGGAGCCCCCGAGGACGCGGACGCCGUGGCGGCGGUGAUAGUCCAGCACGCCGUCCCUCUCAUCGAGAGCAGCCACGGGACGCGCCUGCUCGUUGUCGUCCUCAGCCGCUGCAACUAUAUGCUCCAGGAAGCGAUCGUCGCUAGAAUCACGCGAGACCACAAGAAGUUUUACAAGAUUUGUGCUGCGAGGUCAGGUGAGGUGGUGAGCAUGAUCAAUUCCUGCAUAUCCGAGAGAUCACUGGAGCUUCUGAGAGAUGCAAUCGUGCCAUGGGUGACUCCGUUGAUGAUGGCUCGCCUUGUAACGGAUUCGAGUAGACUCAUGGUGGUGCAUGCCUUGGUGCAGUGUGUUCCUCAUCCAUACUUUGCUGAGACGAAACAUUGCAUUAUUAACCAGCUGUAGAUUUCCUAAGAUGAUGUAUAUACCAUUUUCAAGAGUAGUUUAUUUUUGAUGCUGUUGCUACGAACUGCUUAGCACUUGCUAUUCAUCCGCAUGGAGUGUCCCUCCUGCAAAGUUGUCUGGAGCAUGUCGGAUGGACAGAAAAGGAUAAUGUUUUGUCAAAAGUCUCUUGUUGCAGCACCGAUCUUGCUCAAAAUCGUUUUGGAAACUACAUUGUUCAGUAUGUCCUGAAACAAAGAAACCCAUCGUACUUGGCAAUUAUCGCAUCCCGCUUCAGGUCUAAUUAUGUGACACUCUCAAGACAAAGAUAUAGCAGCAAUGUGGUUGAAACGUGCCUAGAAGUUUUUAUUGACAGAGAUCGAUCUAACAUUGUUCAUGAAUUGAUUCGGUAUCAUCCCUUCAGAGAUUUAGUGUCAGAUGAGUUUGCUAAUUAUGUCAUUUCCAGAGCCCUUACAACCUGCAAGGUUCCUCUUCGGGAUCGAUUGGCCACUGCUAUCCUUUCCCUUCAAAAUGUCAAUCGCCGUCACCCUCAUUGUCUGAAGAUGUUCAACACACUUUCUGAGCUUGGCUACAGAUAUUGAAAAGAAAAAAAAUUCAGACCUAAUAGGGUUUCGGGAGAAGCUGUUCCUGUAUAUUAUAAGCAGUUCUGGCUGAGGAUGUUGUCAACUCAUCUGGUGGGCGUCGUUCCUUUUGUAGUGUGCUGGUCACACUUUGUCUCGAGAUUAGGAUUGUUUGGGCGAGGGGUACCAAAACUCUCUUGAGACAAAUACCCCCAUCCAAACACACCUUUUAGUUUGUGUGAACUUGAAUUUGCCUUGUGGUUUGUUGUGCCCAUUUCUGUAUGUGAGAUGUCUCCAGGCGUUGUUGUUAGUUGUUACUUCUGUAGUUUGCUGCCUGUUGUUAAAAAGAGUGAACAAUGUUUGUGUGAGAUGUUAAGGUGGUUGUGCUACUAGUUUUUAUCGAUGCUGUUGUGGAACUUCAGUAUUCUAUUUGGCAAAGCAUAUUCAACCAAAGCUAGAGCUUGUUA